rnacentral:lncRNA from 1 species
UACCAUGCAAUUCAAUCCUUUAAUCAAACUGCAUCCCAAAUAUGUAUAUGAGUAUGAAUAUAUGUCAAACUCAAUUUCAUAUUCAUAUUUUUCUCAAUUUUUUAAUGAUAAUUCAACUAACGAAACAUUGGAAACUCUUUCUAAUUUUCAUUCUGCUUUGAUCAAAGGCUUCCUGAAUUAUCAUAUGAUUAGAAUAAAUAGGAUGCUAUCUUCUCUUACUAGAAGUGAUUAAUUCCUUGUUGACCUACUCAUAAUCUUCGUACACAAUUCAC